rnacentral:lncRNA from 1 species
UCAUUUUAUUUGAGUAUCAUGCUAUAAGGGAAGAACAAUAAACUUUCCAUUUCAUGCCCAUCCGUGGUGUCGGGAUUCAAUCUAACACUAGUCGUAUGAAUAAUGGGCCAUCAGCUUUCGUGCCUAUGGGUGAUGGUAAUGACGGUGCACAACUGUUUCAAGAAGAGUUGGUGACUGAGCAAAUUGAACUCGAAGAGUGUUCUAGAGCAUCAAUGGCAGAUGCUAGGAUUUAUAGAUGGUGUCUCAAUCUGCAGCCUCUAUUUUCGGACUGAUUUUUAUAAAAU